AUUUCUGGGUGACCGCGUCCUGCCUGUGUGAGACGGGCCCUACAGCCUUGGUCUGCCGACACGCAGGGUGGUUUUCGCCUCUCUGCCGUUGAUCUUGGACUUGUGGAGAGCCUGCCAGCAUCAGACGUGGAGAGUCUUCACAUACUCUAUACCAAGAGAUGGAACAAUCUGUCAGCAGGAACUGUCAGCUUUGCUCUCUGCAGAGCUGGCCUUAAUGGAACAGUGACAAGAGGAGAACAAUUGUUAAAACAACACCAAGGGAAGUCCUAAGGUUACAACGCCAGGACCAGUGCUGCUCAGCAUUAAUAAUACAGGAAGGUAUUGUCCAAGAGGGAGUUUACUCUCUGUCUCCGGCUCAAGCCUUUUUUCUUUAAUUUGUUA